GACCAUGGUCCAGCUCCCCACAUGGUUGCUGUGAGCUGCUCAAAUAAUGGUGCAUGCAGAGAGCCUGCAAGAGUAUAAGAUGUUUAUACCCAAGGGACUGAACACUACGUUGAUCUGAGAGAAAUCCAUGCUUUGCAAGUACAAUAGUUCAGGUAAGUAAUGUACAUAGAUGUGAAGAAGAUGGGUCAGCCAGACUCUAGAAAAAAAACCCCUCAAUGUUUAUGAGCUUUCAUAAUAACAACUACCACCUCUAGGAAUCCUUAUCAGCAGGACAUCAAGGUAAAAUGACGCUGGACAAGUUUAGUCUACAGGGAGACUGUCUGUCAGGCAAGAUUUCUGUUGAAGUUAAGGCUGAAAUCUGCCUGGUCUGUCCAAGCAUGUGACAGUUUGUUUUAGGAAGAUGCCUUUCAGUGUAUCUCAAGUGUCCUGAGCACUGCAAGUGCCAGCAAGAUGUCAGCAAUGUUCAUGGGGAUGCGCCAUGAGGCAGGUGGAUGGGCAGCAGAGGGGAUGAUCACCAAGCUCGUGGAGGAGCAAGAAAGCUGGUUUCAGCAUGCUUCCUGCAGCUAAGGAGUAGAGCAAAGGCACUGCUUCAGAGGGAAGAUGGGCGACCUUCCAGUGAAACCCCUCGGGACCGUCGGGAUGUGUGGGUGACAGGAGAGCUCUCUGUCACAAACUAUGGCCUCAACAGAUGUCCCAGGAUUGAGACCAAGGAGAACUUCUGGACCAUAUGUGCAUCCAGCUUUUUGCUGCAAUGAGUCAUCAGUGUGUGAUCCCUGCUCUCAGGCAGGUAACAAGAUGGAAGGCUCACACCAUCAACCACCACCCAGGAGAUGCACCUCUGCCACUCCACUUGGUGUGGAUAGCUCUUACCUGCUGUGCUGUUUCAAGGAGGCCAUGUCUGCAAGGAGCAGAAGUCUCAGUCUCAGGGGGGCCGUGUGCUCCUCGGUAUGUGCUGCCUGGAGCCAUUGACGCUGCUCCGCUGGAAAACCUGACAUGACUUCAAACUUUCUCCUGAAACCUGUCAAAGGGCACAAUUUGAGAAAUGUUAUUUGACCUGCUUUUUGGCUUCUGC